GAGUUUGAUCGUGGCUCAGGAUGAACGCUAGCGGCAGGCUUAACACAUGCAAGUCGAGGGGUAGAGUUAGCUUGCUAACUUGAGACCGGCGCACGGGUGCGUAACGCGUAUGCAAUCUACCUUGUACAGGGGGAUAGCCCAGAGAAAUUUGGAUUAAUACCCCAUAGUGUUAUGAUGUGGCAUCACAUUAUAACUAAAGUUCCAACGGUACAAGAUGAGCAUGCGUCCCAUUAGCUAGUUGGUGUGGUAACGGCAUACCAAGGCAACGAUGGGUAGGGGUCCUGAGAGGGAGAUCCCCCACACUGGUACUGAGACACGGACCAGACUCCUACGGGAGGCAGCAGUGAGGAAUAUUGGUCAAUGGGCGCAAGCCUGAACCAGCCAUGCCGCGUGCAGGAUGACGGUCCUAUGGAUUGUAAACUGCUUUUGUACAGGAAGAAACACUCCCUCGUGAGGGAGCUUGACGGUACUGUAAGAAUAAGGAUCGGCUAACUCCGUGCCAGCC
rnacentral:rRNA from 1 species